rnacentral:sRNA from 1 species
GUCGUGAGAUGUUGGGUUAAGUCCCGCAACGAGCGCAACCCCCGUCGCAUGUUGCCAGCAUUUAGUUGGGGACUCAUGCGAGACUGCCGGUGACAAACCGGAGGAAGGUGGGGAUGACGUCAAGUCAUCAUGCCCCUUAUGUUCAGGGCUACACACGUGCUACAUUGGCGCGUACAGAGGGCUGCGAUACCGCGAGGUGGAGCGAAUCCCUUAAAGCGCGUCUCGGUUCGGAUCGCAGGCUGAAACUCGCCUGCGUGAAGGCGGAGUUGCUAGUAAUCGCAGAUCAGCAAUGCUGCGGUGAAUACGUUCCCGGGCCUUGUACACACCGCCCGUCACACCACGGAAGCAAGCAACACCCGAAGCCGGUGGCCUAACCCGCAAGGGAGGGAGCUGUCGAAGGUGGGGCUCGUGACUGGGGUGAAGUCGUAACAAGGUAGCCGUACCGGAAGGUGCGGCUGGAUCACCUCCUUUCUAGGGAGCACCAGGACUGGUGCGCCCACGUACCGCUCGAGUCCACCAUUCCGGUGGCCGGGUGCGUCGUGGGUUCCUAGCAUGUCGACCGGGCUUGGACACUGCGUUUCCGCUUAGGCGGCGACGUUGCAUGCUGUUGAGUUUUGAGAGACCGGCGCCCGCCGGGCGAGCUCGGAAGUCUCGAGCCGCACGUGCCGGCGCAUGUCGCCUCCACGGACCUUGAAAACUGCACAGAGCCAAGAAUUAACGGGUAUCACCGGGCCGCUCCUGCAAAAGGGCGGCCUGAUCACCGUCAAGAUAUGAAGGGCACACGGUGGAUGCCUUGGCACCAGGAGUCGAUGAAGGGCGUGGACGGCUGCGAUAAGCCGCGGUGAGGCGCUGAACAGCCUUUGACCCGCGGAUUC